AAGGAAACAGCUGGAUUGCAAAAGCAAGGGAGGUCACAUACAGAAGAAGAGUGAUGAAGAAAUAAGAGAAACAUUCUCCAAGUCUGAAGAAAUGCCUUAUUUGGUUUCGCAGUUAACAGGCUCUCUGGAGUGUGACUCAUAAGCCCUUGCAGCUCAGACAGUGUUGCAGACCGAGCUACCAGCAACCUCUUUGUCCUCCAUGUGAUGUUACUGAAUCGGCUCAAGAUAACUCGUACCUUGGAGCAACCUCCUAUUGCAAAGAGAGUUCACCCAAAUAAAUAAUGCUGAAGGGGGAGUUUCUUUAUAUGCUGUGC
rnacentral:lncRNA from 1 species